UUUCAGCUGACCGUGUCUACGCUCCCUGGAGUGUCUGUUACCAUGGUAAUGAGGAACAUGAUUGACGGCACAGUUGUGGAGAACAAAACUGCAGAAUCCCAGUUGGUGCUUGGAGGAGGAGGAGGAGGGACCCAGAUUGUGUUGGGAUCUCAGCAUCCAAACCAAACAAACAGUGUUGGGCCCACCUCGGUGAAGUUUGCUGGUUGCCUGCA